GAUGAACGCUAGCGGGAGGCCUAACACAUGCAAGCCGAGCGGUAGAGAUCUUUCGGGAUCUUGAGAGCGGCGUACGGGUGCGGAACACGUGUGCAACCUGCCUUUAUCAGGGGGAUAGCCUUUCGAAAGGAAGAUUAAUACCCCAUAAUAUAUUGAAUGGCAUCAUUUGAUAUUGAAAACUCCGGUGGAUAGAGAUGGGCACGCGCAAGAUUAGAUAGUUGGUAGGGUAACGGCCUACCAAGUCAGUGAUCUUUAGGGGGCCUGAGAGGGUGAUCCCCCACACUGGUACUGAGACACGGACCAGACUCCUACGGGAGGCAGCAGUGAGGAAUAUUGGACAAUGGGUGAGAGCCUGAUCCAGCCAUCCCGCGUGAAGGACGACGGCCCUAUGGGUUGUAAACUUCUUUUGUAUAGGGAUAAACCUUUCCACGUGUGGAAAGCUGAAGGUACUAUGCGAAUAAGCACCGGCUAACUCCGUGCCAGCAGCCGCGGUAAUACGGAGGGUGCAAGCGUUAUCCGGAUUUAUUGGGUUUAAAGGGUCCGUAGGCGGAUCUGUAAGUCAGUGGUGAAAUCUCAUAGCUUAACUAUGAAACUGCCAUUGAUACUGCAGGUCUUGAGUAAAGUAGAAGUGGCUGGAAUAAGUAGUGUAGCGGUGAAAUGCAUAGAUAUUACUUAGAACACCAAUUGCGAAGGCAGGUCACUAUGUUUUAACUGACGCUGAUGGACGAAAGCGUGGGGAGCGAACAGGAUUAGAUACCCUGGUAGUCCACGCCGUAAACGAUGCUAACUCGUUUUUGGGUCUUCGGAUUCAGAGACUAAGCGAAAGUGAUAAGUUAGCCACCUGGGGAGUACGUUCGCAAGAAUGAAACUCAAAGGAAUUGACGGGGGCCCGCACAAGCGGUGGAUUAUGUGGUUUAAUUCGAUGAUACGCGAGGAACCUUACCAAGGCUUAAAUGGGAAUUGACAGGUUUAGAAAUAGACUUUUCUUCGGACAAUUUUCAAGGUGCUGCAUGGUUGUCGUCAGCUCGUGCCGUGAGGUGUUAGGUUAAGUCCUGCAACGAGCGCAACCCCUGUCACUAGUUGCCAUCAUUCAGUUGGGGACUCUAGUGAGACUGCCUACGCAAGUAGAGAGGAAGGUGGGGAUGACGUCAAAUCAUCACGGCCCUUACGCCUUGGGCCACACACGUAAUACAAUGGCCGGUACAGAGGGCAGCUACCUAGCGAUAGGAUGCGAAUCUCGAAAGCCGGUCUCAGUUCGGAUUGGAGUCUGCAACUCGACUCUAUGAAGCUGGAAUCGCUAGUAAUCGCGUAUCAGCCAUGAUGCGGUGAAUACGUUCCCGGGCCU
rnacentral:rRNA from 1 species